UACGGAGGAUCCAAGCGUUAUCCGGAAUCAUUGGGUUUAAAGGGAGCGUAGGCGGAUUGGUAAGUCAGUGGUGAAAUCUUUGGGCUUAACCCAGAAACUGCCAUUGAUACUGCUGAUCUAGAGUACAGUUGCCGUUGGCGGAAUAUAACAUGUAGUGGUGAAAUACUUAGAUAUGUCAUAGAACACCGAUUGCGAAGGCAGCUAACGAAGCUGUAACUGACGCUGAGGCUCGAAAGUGCGGGGAUCAAACAGG
rnacentral:rRNA from 1 species